rnacentral:misc_RNA from 1 species
AAGUCGUAACAAGGUUUCCGUAGGUGAACCUGCGGAAGGAUCAUUAACACGUAUCCACGUAUUAUAUACCCUUUAUCAACAACCCCUGUGAACCGUUCUCCCUGUCCUGGUCGAUCCGCUUUGCUGUCUGAUUUGGAUUGUAGUGGGCUGUGCAGUUGCUACGCAAGUGGUGGCUGUAUGGCACAUCCGGUCGGGCUAUCGCUCCUCGAGAGUGUGGCUUAGCAUACUGACUGACAGGCUACUUAACACUUACUGUGACCCAACCACUUUGGGAAGCGGCGAGGAGCCCAUACCAAUUUCACCCUAUUUUACCCAUUUGACUAAUUAUUAACAUUCUUCGGGAGAAAUCCUGUUUGAAUUCUAAGAUUUAUCUUAACUAAGCACAACUCUUAGCAAUGGAUAUCUUGGUUCUC